UAUCAUCAAACCCCUCGGGUUCGCGCCCGUUGCGGUUUGGAGUUGGGGGCUUGCUGCCGCAAGGCGGUUCCCCUUAAAAUCAUCGGUUUGGCCCGCACCGUGCGGCUUGCACCUUUGGCGUUGUAUUUCCCUCGCCUUCGAUCGGUCUUGCUCGCUUCCGCGCCUCACCCCGACUUGCCCUUUGGGUGGCGGUCACUUCUUGACA
rnacentral:misc_RNA from 1 species